rnacentral:misc_RNA from 1 species
GAUGAAGAACGCAGCGAAAUGCGAUAAGUAGUGUGAAUUGCAGAAUUCAGUGAAUCAUCGAAUCUUUGAACGCACAUUGCGCCCCUUGGUAUUCCAUGGGGCAUGCCUGUUCGAGCGUCAUUUGUACCUUCAAGCUUUGCUUGGUGUUGGGUGUUUGUCUCGCCUUUGCGUGUAGACUCGCCUUAAAAUAAUUGGCAGCCGGCGUAUUGAUUUCGGAGCGCAGUACAUCUCGCGCUUUGCACUCAUAACGACAGCGUCCAAAAGUACAUUUUACACUCUUGACCUCGGAUCAGGUAGGGAUACCCGCUGAACUUAAGCAUAUCAAUAAGCGGGA